UACAGAGGGUGCAAGCGUUAAUCGGAAUUACUGGGCGUAAAGCGCGCGUAGGUGGUUUGUUAAGUUGAAUGUGAAAUCCCCGGGCUCAACCUGGGAACUGCAUCCAAAACUGGCAAGCUAGAGUAGGGCAGAGGGGUGGUGGAAUUUCCUGUGGUAGCGGUGAAAUGCGUAGAUAUAGGAAGGAACACCAGUGGCGAAGGCGACCACCUGGGCUCAUACUGACACUGAGGUGCGAAAGCGUGGGGAGCAAACAGG
rnacentral:rRNA from 1 species